AAAUAAGUUAAAAAUAAGGUUUAUAUAUUUAGUUUAAAAUAAAUAAAUUUAAAUAGAGCGUAUUAGUAGAUAUUUUAGAAAUUAUAAUUUUUUAGUGGCUGUAAAGUUAAUAUUGAAAUAUAAUGAAAAUUUAUUUAUAUUAAAGUAGGAUUUUACUGUACCUUUUGUAUCAGGGUUUAUUUAAUGGUUUUAAUUUAAUAUUAUUAUCCCGAAUUAAAAUGGGUUAAAUUUAUAUAAUGAAUAUAGUGGUAAAUUUAUCAUAAAUAUAAAUUUAGAAAUGAAAUGUUAUUCGUCUUUUAAUAUAUCUGGUUUCUUAAGAAUUGAAUUUAAUUCAGGAUUAAUUAUAGAAAUAAAUUAUUUUGUUAAUUUUUUUAAUUAAUUUAAAAUUAUAAGGGAUAAGCUUUAUAAUUAAAUAUAUUUAAAAUAGUAAAGAAAAAGUAGGCUUGAAAGUUGUUAUCUUUAAAAAAUUGUAAUAAAUUAUUCUAAUUUACUAUAAUUUUUAUAAAAUUAUUUAUUUAUUAAGAAAUAUAAUUAAAUUUGAAAGUUAUAGGUAUAAUGAUAAAAUUAUUAGCUUUUAUAUAUUUUAAUAAGGAACUCGGCAAAUUAAUAUACUCGGCUGUUUAACAAAAACAUAGCUUUUUGAAUGAAUAAAAGGUGUAACCUGCCCACUGAAUAAAAAAUUGAAGGGCCGCGGUAUUUUGACCGUGCAAAGGUAGCAUAAUCAUUAGUCUUCUAAUUAAGGGCUGGCAUGAAGGGUCGCACGUAGUAUUAGCUGUCUCAUUUGAAUAAAGUAAAUUUAACAUUUAAGUGAAAAGGCUUAAAUAGAAUUGGAGGACGAGAAGACCCUAUAGAGCUUUAUAAAGAAUUUAUAUUUAGUUUAGUGGUUUGUUAAAUAUAUGAUUUAAUUUAUUUUGUUGGGGUGACAUGAAAAUAAAUAAACUUUUCAUUUUAUUAACAUUUAUUUAUGGUUAAAGGAUCCGUUAUUAACGAUUAUAAGUCUAAGUUACCUUAGGGAUAACAGCGUGAUCUUUUUUGAGAGUUCUAAUCGACAAAAAGGGUUGCGACCUCGAUGUUGGACUAAAAAUAAACUUAGGCGCAGUAGCUUGAGAAUUAGGUCUGUUCGACCUUUAAAUUUUUACAUGAUCUGAGUUCAGACCGGCGUAAGCCAGGUUGGUUUCUAUCCUCAAUUUAUAAUAAAUAAUUUAGUACGAAAGGACCAAUUAUUUAAAAUAAUUUUUAAUAUUUGAAUAUUAUU
rnacentral:rRNA from 1 species